CAGUUCCCAUAUGAUCACUGAAGUUAAGCAACAUCAAGCCUGGACAGUACCUAGAUGGGAGAUGAGUUGGGAAUACCAGGUGUUGCA